UUUACACGAUCAACGUUACCCUCGUUAGAAUAUAACAAACUAGAUUACUUCAUGUGACAGUUUCAACGUUUCACAGACGUCGAUAGAAAGCUUUCCAUCUCUCGAAUUGCGAAAGAUCGUGCACCACCAAGUGUAACGUCUUCGAAACCAGUUCAAAAAUGUAUUAACCUUAAUAACGCGUGUUUCAACAUCCUUGUCAGUGAUACAUUUUGUGAAUUAAUUAUCUCUUCACUUUUUAAUUUACUUACAUUGCACCUUCAUUUUUGUUCAUUAAAUUGAAAUACGCGUGUUCUUUCUCUCAGUUUAUUUCGCCGUUGAAAGAAUCAUGUCGGAAAGGAAUUACAAUGCUGAAUGUGCUACACGUGACAAUAAUAUCGUAUAAAAUAUUGGUAAACAUCGUCGAUUUAUUGUAGUCAAAAUAUAAAAUAGUAUCGGCCGAUCGAUGGAAUGCGGUUAAAUGUCACGAAAAUGUUCAAUUGAUGGCAUCGCACGCGUCGAUCCAGUCAUUGUAUACGUCGAUCGGCUCCGACAGAACGGUGACGGUGGUCUGAUAAUCCUCCAAGCAAACUCGGCACGAGAUUUUCGCCGUAUUUCGGGCCUUAUCCCUGAAAUCACAAAGGACGCUACACUUUAUAAUCCGUUUCGGCAGCCAUUGAUUUCUUUGUAAACACAGAACUUACAUUUUUACUUCGCACGAUUUUUCAUGAUUACAAAACGGGCACGUAAAUUGUGUAUCCAUGGGCUCGAUGGCUUUUCUUUUUUGAGGAGCCUGCCGUUUACUUUUUCUCCGACCCAUUUUCGAUUGUAUAAUACCUUUCCAACUUUCAGGUCCCAGUACUACUAAAUAACUGCGUUAAAUGCGUUGCCGGAGUUUUCGGAAAAGCUGUAAGGGUGUUCCAAAAUUAUCGUUCUUUUCCGGGAAGUGGGGGGUUCCUGAGGUCAUUAGAAAUUACUUUUUUCCUUAAGGAAAAUGUAAUCCGUUGCCUAGUUUAUGAAUUACCGUAAUGGGACCUACUCCUGCACCUUUUUUUUACUCCCUAAGCUGACUCACACAUCCCCACCAUUUUAUUGCCCAUCCAAUUCGCAGUGGAUCCUGUCUCAGCAGUAAAUCGUCAACCAAUCGGAGCAAAGAAAGUUUCUAUAUCGAUCCUUGCUAACGGAUCAAGCUGCGGCUUGGAGGUGUGCAGGAGUAAGUCCCUUUUCCGUAUCAACGAAAAACAGUGACCAAUGAUAGGCUCAGCUGCUACAAGGUGGUCGAGCGAGCGGCACCGGCUUCGAGCGUGGGACGCGACGACUUCGGGCCACGUUUUGAAGCGUGAACUUUCUGAAAUUUUUUUACCAAGUGACAGUGAUAUUUUGAAGAAAAACGCUGUUCACCCUUAUUUUACUAUUACUAAUUUUUUAGUAAUUUAAAACAGACAGAACAGAAGGAACAAAAUGUGCACACACUGUGUAUGAAUAAUCACAUUUAAUGUGUAUUUUUACCAUUAAUUGAGUAAUUAUAAUGGGGGUCUUUGAUACAAAAUUAAUCUUAAGUAUGUUACAAAUUAAUCUACAAGAAUUUGAAGCACGCAAAUGAGUAGAUUUUCUUAUUUGAUAUUGAAUCAUUAUGAUUUAUUCAUUAUAUAAUUAAAUAUUAAUAACACGCGACAAUUUUUGCACCCUAUUAAGCAGCAAAUCCCCUUGUUUUACCAUAGCUUGAUAUUGCCAAUUUUUGCUAUCGGGUCUAUUGGUUUCAACUACUCCACCAACACGAUCAACUUUACAGUGUAAUCUUCCUGCUGCAAUGAAACGUGAUAUUUCCCUAGAAGAAAAAUUUGUAUUACAAAGCCAAAUCCGAUUCCAAUUAGUUGAAUUGCAAAGCUGUGAAUCUUACUGAUCAAUGUAUUCCACCGUGACACCAAAUGCCUCUGCCAUAUACUGCAGUGUCAGCGAUCUGUACGAUUCCAAAAGUUGUGUGUACGCGAGAAUGCGCAUUUCUCUGACAUAAUAUCGAUAAUGAGGAAACACUAAAUAGUCCCUGCGCAGUAAACCUUCCACGUGUGCUAAAAAAGUAUCAUCAUGCUAUUACACGAUCUUGCUCUUACAAGUAUACUUUUAUCCAUACAAAAGAAUAAAAUACCGAGAUUCUUGAAGAAAUCAGCAUAUUGGCAGUUGUACAAAGAGAACAAGUAAUCUUUCACAUCCGGGUUACUAUGAAGUACUUCCAAAAUUUCAGACCCUUUGAUGAUUUUAUCUCUGAGCUCAUUUCUUGGUAAACUUAUCAUACUUAAGUAUACUGUGUAUCUAACAAAUGUAUUGUAAUCCAUAAGCUCGUAACUUGUAAAUGUGCUAAUUGUAUCCAAAAAGAAAUUUGCAGCUUCUUUGAAAUCUCUUACUGCUAUACAGUACGUUCCUUGGUAAA